AUGAUACAGUGGGGAAUGAAGAACACCUUGACCAAAUGAUCCGGAUUAAUACCACCAGUGAGAGGCAGAUGGAGAGCUUGUGCGUCCAGAUGAGCUUCCCGUGAAAGACACAGCAUCACCGAGGACAUUCAUAGGUACUUACCAGAUAAGAAAACAGAAAAAAGAAGAAAGAA